ACGAACGCUGGCGGCGUGCCUAAUACAUGCAAGUCGAACGCCUCUUUCCUCCCGAGUGCUUGCACUCAAUUGGAAAGAGGAGUGGCGGACGGGUGAGUAACACGUGGGUAACCUACCCAUCAGAGGGGGAUAACACUUGGAAACAGGUGCUAAUACCGCAUAACAGUUUAUGCCGCAUGGCAUAAGAGUGAAAGGCGCUUUCGGGUGUCGUUGAUGGAUGGACCCGCGGUGCAUUAGCUAGUUGGUGAGGUAACGGCUCACCAAGGCCACGAUGCAUAGCCGACCUGAGAGGGUGAUCGGCCACACUGGGACUGAGACACGGCCCAGACUCCUACGGGAGGCAGCAGUAGGGAAUCUUCGGCAAUGGACGAAAGUCUGACCGAGCAACGCCGCGUGAGUGAAGAAGGUUUUCGGAUCGUAAAACUCUGUUGUUAGAGAAGAACAAGGACGUUAGUAACUGAACGUCCCCUGACGGUAUCUAACCAGAAAGCCACGGCUAACUACGUG
rnacentral:rRNA from 1 species